UACGUAGGUGGCAAGCGUUGUCCGGAAUUACUGGGCGUAAAGCGCGCGUAGGCGGAUCUGCAAGUCGGGGGUGAAAUCCCGAGGCUCAACCUCGGAACUGCCUUCGAUACUGCGGGUCUCGAGUCCGGGAGAGGUGAGUGGAAUUCCUAGUGUAGAGGUGAAAUUCGUAGAUAUUAGGAAGAACACCAGUGGCGAAGGCGGCUCACUGGCCCGGUACUGACGCUGAGGCGCGAAAGCGUGGGGAGCAAACAGG
rnacentral:rRNA from 1 species